rnacentral:rRNA from 1 species
GACGAACGCUGGCGGCGUGCUUAACACAUACAAGUCGUACGGUAAGGCCCUUUCGGGGGUACACGAGUGGCGAACGGGUGAGUAACACGUGAGUAAUCUGCCCACAACUUUGGGAUAACGCUAGGAAACUGGUGCUAAUACUGGAUAUGUGCUCCUGCUGCAUGGUGGGGGUUGGAAAGCUCCGGCGGUUGUGGAUGGACUCGCGGCCUAUCAGCUUGUUGGUGGGGUAGUGGCCUACCAAGGCGGCGACGGGUAGCCGGCCUGAGAGGGUGACCGGCCACAUUGGGACUGAGAUACGGCCCAGACUCCUACGGGAGGCAGCAGUGGGGAAUAUUGCACAAUGGGCGCAAGCCUGAUGCAGCAACGCCGCGUGCGGGAUGACGGCCUUCGGGUUGUAAACCGCUUUCAGCAGGGACGAAGCUUUUUGUGACGGUACCUGCAGAAGAAGCACCGGCUAACUACGUG